GCCCAUGAGGCAUUGAGGCAAACUCUUGAAUUAUUGAGUGUGUUUGCAGAAAAGGAUACAAGUUAGCCACACAGUGUGGACCACCUGUACAUGAAAUGGAUUCACAGUGAUUUAAUUGAAGCAGUGAUUGAGGUUAUUAAGAAACACAGCUGAUAACAGAUGGGAGGGCUUGUCCUAUUCACAGAAACUGAGGCUACAACACUGUUGAUGCUGGUCCUAACUACACCUUGAACCAUGGCAUCUGUGGAGAGAGAACAUACAGACCUACAGCUGUAACAGAGUGGAAGAGGACACGCUUUCAUCUUUGUUCGUAUGACUGAGGGAACAAGACAAACUGCCAAAAAACUACAUCUAACAAGGAGGACCUCAAGGACAUCUUUGCGUGGACUUCCUCUACAAAUAAAGACUUCCUGCAGACCUGCCCGGGCUGAGUUGGAUCCCAGUGAAGCUUUGAAAAGCUGCCGCGGUGUGGCUGCACAUGACCGAC